GGCUGAAAUUCGCCUUCAUGAAGCCGGAAUUGCUAGUAAUGGCAGGUCAGCAUACUGCCGUGAAUACGUUCCCGGGCCUUGUACACACCGCCCGUCACACCAUGAGAGUUGGAAAUACCCGAAGCCUGUGAGCUAACUUUGCGGAGGCAGCAGUCGAAGGUAGAGCCAAUGAUUGGGGUGAAGUCGUAACAAGGUAUC
rnacentral:rRNA from 1 species